UGCAAACAUCUUCAAUUCAAGUCUUUUUUCUCGGAAAUAGACUUUGAGUUGGUUCUGAGUGCUUGCCUUUGACUUUGUGUUAUUGGCUCACUUUAAAUACAUUAGCUGGGUAUCUCUUUUUUCCAGUCCUAGGGAAUUACUUUACUUGGUUGUUCCAGCGUGAUAAGAUCUGCUGAGACUUCUAGGAAAACCAAAUUCACUAGGCCAAGACUGGUAUAGAGUUUGCCUGCUUCUAAUCAAGGGUAAGUGUAUGGUAACAUACACUUGCUGCAAUUUUAACU
rnacentral:misc_RNA from 1 species